UACGUAGGGGGCGAGCGUUGUCCGGAGUUACUGGGCGUAAAGCGCUUGUAGGCGGUCCACCAAGUUUGGGGUGACAGUUGCCGACUUAAUCGGCAAAGUGCCUCAAAGACUGGCGGACUUGAGGGCCACAGAGGGACAUGGAACUCCAGGUGUAGUGGUGAAAUGCGUAGAUAUUGGGAAGAACACCGGUGGCGAAGGCGGCGACCUGGUCCGAUACUGACGCUGAGGCGCGAAAGCGUGGGGAGCAAACAGG
rnacentral:rRNA from 1 species